UACGUAGGGUGCAAGCGUUAAUCGGAAUUACUGGGCGUAAAGCGUGCGCAGGCGGUCUUGCAAGACAGAUGUGAAAUCCCCGGGCUCAACCUGGGAAUGGCGAUGGAGACUGCAAGGCUAGAGUUUGGCAGAGGGGGGUAGAAUUCCACGUGUAGCAGUGAAAUGCGUAGAGAUGUGGAGGAACACCGAUGGCGAAGGCAGCCCCCUGGGUCAAAACUGACGCUCAUGCACGAAAGCGUGGGGAGCAAACAGG
rnacentral:rRNA from 1 species